rnacentral:misc_RNA from 1 species
CACUAGAUCGCCCUCUGCUAUCGCCUCGCCCCUUCCCCACUCUACCGCUGUCCUUCUCCCUUCUCCCUUCAUCUGCGUUAUCCACUGCGCACAAACCAACAGAAGGCAGACCUUUUCGCUCCCUGGUCGUUCGCCUACGAUUUGUGCGCGUAGGGGCAGUCACCUGCACAGGUGGCUCUGCCGGUGUCUCUUGUUCUCUUCUUCCCCAGUGCCAUUUUCCUCUCUUGUCCCCUUCCACUGCACCGCUUAGAAGCAGAGGGGGCGAGAGAUCGACUUUUCUUUUGGUUGUUGUUGUCCUGUGGAGCUUCGUGUUCUACGCGCAGCGAAUUUUUGGGCCUCCUCUACGGCUCUCCCUCACACCUCCUUGUCCACUAGUGCGCCGCUUCCUCACUACAUCGCUAUCGCCCACUCCAUUUCUGCCUUGCCUUCCCACACAGCAUCUCGUUCUGCCUGCCGCACCGCAACUGCCCCGGGUCUGCUACAUAGACGAGUUGCUCAAUGAGCUGGUGGAACUUCUGGAGUCGGAGCAGUGACUCCAAGGAAGAAGCCACGAGUGACAAUGGCAACAGGGCCGCCAAGACAGCGGGGCCAGCGGAAAUGCGAUCCUUCACCGCAGCAGAGCUAGCCCAGUUUACCGGCGAGAACGGUACACCAAUCUACAUGUCUGUGAAAGGCAAGGUCUAUGACUGCACGUGCGGGGCCGCCUUCUACGGUCCUGGCAACUCGUACGCGGUGUUUGCUGGGAAGGAGGUGUCACGCUGUCUCGGCAAGAUGCUGAUCAGUGACGAGGAGGCAAAUGCGAACUGGGACGACCUCACCCCGGAGCACAUGCAAAGCCUUGAUGAGUGGGCGGCAAAGUUCGACAGCAAAUACCCUGUGAUCGGCAUCUUUGUUCCGGAUGAGGAGUACUAUGCACGGCAGAAGACGCUCACGCCAUAAUCGAAGAAAAGGAACGCUUGAGUGGCCCAGUAAAAUAAACCCAGACAAAAAACACGAAGGGGGAUGCGCAGCGGCAGGCGCGUCCUCAGCGAUGAAUGGGCACCCGCAGCCUUGGCAGGUUUUCCAUCUGCUUUCCUUUGCUAUGCGCGCCUGCACGACUGCGCGUUCUCACCCCCCCCCCACACACACACACACACAACGAAAAAAAAAACGUUUUUUUUUUGUUUUUUUUUUUUUUCACCGUGUGCCCAUCCCACUACGAACAACGGAUACGCCCACACAACCACAGCGCGCCCACCUCUACCGCACGGCGUCGAUGCCCAUUGAGCUGGGCCCACGAACACCGUGUGCCAUCGCUCAGUCCACUGGAAUCCUACGGCACACUGCACGGUCUAAGUGCCGCAUUACGCUCGAAAAGCGCCGCAACGCAGCCGAAGCAGGAAAGAAGCAGUCGGGAAAUGCCUGCAUUUCGUGAAUCGUCGACUCGAUUCGUAGUGAGCUGGUUCCGUCCUGAUGCUGACCGCAUGUUUCAUCGGCACGGUGCCGGCCCACCCGUCUCCGCAGACACCGACAGCCCGAAGCCGUACCCGGGAGCAGGCUGCAGGCGCUUAGCCUCCUCACAAAGAGUGGGCACUGGGCUCUGAUGCCACGGUGAGGCGAGUCGCACCAUGAGGGCUCACUAAAAUGGGAGCGAAAGGAAUCGUGAAGACACGCUCACGCAAAGACAGAAGAAGGCAAUGUGUGGGGAGGGGGAGAACAUGACGCGGUAUCACUUCUCGACCCCAACGCCACGGCCGAUAACCGUCGAACUCUGUGUGUCUCUUCUCGCCGUACUGCCCCCAUGUUUCCUCAAGUGGUCGUCCUGUUCCAUCCACGCACGCCCCUCCCCAGUUCUCGUGGUUCUGCACGCGCACAGGUCUAUCGAUUUUCCCAACGCAAGUGGCUAUCCAUCCAUGUCACCCUUCCUGUUUUUGCUGUUCGACUCCGUUGAACCCAUC